rnacentral:pre_miRNA from 1 species
UGUGCUUAUUUGUAUAUUGCACUGUUAAUCUUUUGUAUUAUGCAAAUAUUCACAAU